rnacentral:siRNA from 1 species
CAACGAUAAUCUUGUGUCCGAC